rnacentral:rRNA from 1 species
AGCUCCAAUAGCGUAUAUUAAAGUUGUUGCAGUUAAAAAGCUCGUAGUUGGAUUUCUGGGCGGAGCGACCGGUCCGCCGCUGUGCGGUGUGUACUUGUGUUCGACUCUGCUCAUCCUUGCGGGGAAGCAUCUUCCGGCAUUCAGUUGUCGGGGUGGGGAACCGCAUCCUUUACUGUGAAAAAAUUAGAGUGUUUAAAGCAGGCAAAUCGCUGUGAAUACAUUAGCAUGGAAUAAUAACAUAGGACUUUGGUUCUAUUUUGUUGGUUGGAGGCCAAGGUAAUGAUUAAUAGGGAUAGUUGGGGGUAUUCAUAUUUAA